CCCUUAGAUGUCCUGGGCCGCACGCGCGCUACACUGAACGGAUCAGCGCGUUUUCCCUUCCCGAGAGGGACGGGUAACCUGCUGAACCCCGUUCGGGGUAGGGAUCGGGGCUUGCAAUUAUUCCCCGUGAACCAGGAAUGCCCAGUAAGUGCAAGUCAUAAGCUUGCGUUGAUUACGUCCCUGCCCUUUGUACACACCGCCCGUCGCUACUACCGAUUGAACGUUUUAGUGAGGUACUCGGACUGAGCCUCAGAAGAUUCACGUCUUUUGUGCUGCUCGGGAAGAUUCCCAAACUUGAGCGUUUAGAGGAAGUAAAAGUCGUAACA
rnacentral:rRNA from 1 species